GUGGGGAAUAUUGCACAAUGGGCGCAAGCCUGAUGCAGCAACGCCGCGUGAGGGAUGACGGCCUUCGGGUUGUAAACCUCUUUUAGUAGGGAAGAAGCGAAAGUGACGGUACCUGCAGAAAAAGCACCGGCUAACUACGUGCCAGCAGCCGCGGUAAUACGUAGGGUGCAAGCGUUGUCCGGAAUUAUUGGGCGUAAAGAGCUCGUAGGCGGCUUGUCGCGUCUGCUGUGAAAACCCGAGGCUCAACCUCGGGCCUGCAGUGGGUACGGGCAGGCUAGAGUGCGGUAGGGGAGAUUGGAAUUCCUGGUGUAGCGGUGGAAUGCGCAGAUAUCAGGAGGAACACCGAUGGCGAAGGCAGAUCUCUGGGCCGUAACUGACGCUGAGGAGCGAAAUCAUGGGGAGCGAACAGGAUUAGAUACCCUAGUAGUCC
rnacentral:rRNA from 1 species